UACGUAGGGUGCAAGCGUUAUCCGGGAUUAUUGGGCGUAAAGAGCUCGUAGGCGGUUUGUCGCGUCUGCUGUGAAAACUGGAGGCUCAACCUCCAGCCUGCAGUGGGUACGGGCAGACUAGAGUGCGGUAGGGGAGAUUGGAAUUCCUGGUGUAGCGGUGGAAUGCGCAGAUAUCAGGAGGAACACCGGUGGCGAAGGCGGGUCUCUGGGCCGAUACUGACGCUGAGGAGCGAAAGCGUGGGGAGCGAACAGG
rnacentral:rRNA from 1 species